AGUGAACGCUGGCGGUAUGCCUAACACAUGCAAGUCGAACGGCAGCACAGUAAGAGCUUGCUCUUACUGGUGGCGAGUGGCGGACGGGUGAGGAAUACAUCGGCAUCUACUUUUUCGUGGGUGAUAACGUAGGGCCACUUACGCUAAUACCGCAUACUACCUACGGGUGAAAGCAGGGGAUCUUCGCACCUUGCGCGAUUGUAUGAGCCGAUGUCGGAUUAGCUAGUUGGCGGGGUAAAGGCCCACCAAGGCAACGAUCCGUAGCUGGUCUGAGAGGAUGAUCAGCCACACUGGAACUGAGACACGGUCCAGACUCCUACGGGAGGCAGCAGUGGGGAAUAUUGGACAAUGGGCGCAAGCCUGAUCGAGCAAUGCCGCGUGGGUGAAGAAGGCCUUCGGGUUGUAAAGCUCUUUUGUUGGGAAAGAAAAGCAGCAGGUUAAUAUCCGGAUGUUCUGACGGUACCCAAAGAAUAAGCACCGGCUAACUACGUG
rnacentral:rRNA from 1 species